ACAUAACGCAGCAUAACACUGGUUAGUUUCUCUCUUACUCUCGAAGCGGACAGACGUGCGUCGUUUGCGCUCUGCGCGUCGAGUGUUUUGUUUUUUUUACAUUCUAACAGUGCUGCAUUCGUACCAAUGUUUGUAUAACACAGCCGGGAAAAAGUAAUGUCCCCCGGUGAAGGUAGUACACUCUAUCCACGUUAGUUAGUCAGUGACCACAGAGAUUAAGCGCAAGCGGAGAAUCACCGGAAGUCGUCGGAAAGAACAGACUUCGAAUGGAAAUAACCGCGUGGUGCAUUAAAGUACAGUCGGAUGCAACGAAACCCUCGAUCCGGCGCAGUAUCGUGACGAAUGCAAUUGCACCAAUGAAAACAUAGUGUGUGCGUGUUCCAGCGAAUCGUAGAAUAGUGUGUGAAAAGUUAAACAAAAAGGUUCAGUUCUUUAGAGGCACCUAACCGUGUCUCUCUCUCGUAGUCCAUAGUAUAUCCUCACGGGAGGAACAAGCGUAUUCUAUUUGUGAUAACAGUAUCGUUAAUUAACCACCACAAAAAAAAAUCGACGAGAAAAAGAAAAUUCUGUACUCUGGCAGUCACCGUAGAGUGCUCUGCGCUGAAGAUAUUCCAAGGAGAGGACAUCCAAGUAGCAGCAGCUUCUAGUUGUAAAAUGGUAAGCCGUCCAGAGAGUGGUUUGGAGAAAUUUAUUGUCACAUCGUCUUGAGUGGCUACUACUUGAGAGGGCUGAAGGACGAUGGGCAACACCAACCUGACGUACACAUCGGUUUGAGUAGAGGCACACGGUAGGCAAGGCUGUUGCAGUUUAAUGUAAAGUGCAGUAGAGGCACAUCAUUUAUUCCGAUAGCGCCGAGGGGUCUCGGAGGCACAUGAGGGGUCUCUCUGCGUCCUUAAUUAAUGAGGUGUGCAGCACAAGAGUGUAUUGAAGGCAUAAUUGCGUUUGUGUGUGAUGAGCACGAUAUCAAAAGGAAGCACCUUGACGCUUGAGGGUUGGGUGGGCCACGACGAGAUGUCAAGAGAGCACGAAUAUAAUUGCCAAUCAACACCUUAUCAUUUGGUAAUGAGGAUGAUGUAACGUCACAUGCUUGGGAGUGGAGAGCGUGAAGCUGAUGAACGUCACAACACUUGGUGGACAUGCAUUAAGAGAAUUUUUAAUUAAUUUAAGAAAUUGUUAUUAUUGUUGGAGUUGGGCUAGAUUGCUCCAACUCCAAUAGCUUGUUGGCAAGGAAAGGUUCAGAACAGAACAAAGCAACUCAUCCGGUGGUGUGGGGCUGAUCCCUGACCUUCCGGUUUGAACUUUAUCGUGUCCUGGUUGUAAAAAUGUCAUUUGAAUGAGGCUUCGAUUGUACACUUUGCGAAAGUGCUCACACACACACUCUGUGCCACGUGAACGACAACGUAGGCUUAAACAGGAUGUUUCCUACCAUCACACUUGACACCCGGCGGCUGUACCCGGGGGUAGUGUGUCACAUCGGUACAACCUGGCUAUUUUUGGUAUCUACACAUUCCCCACCCGUGAAGAGCGUCCUUGCCGGCACGGUGUCCUUGUCAGGCGGGCUUUGGAGAGCUUCCGUUUGCCGACGGAGAAGAGCGCAAGGAUGACGUCUGUCCGGUACGGGUAACGGAACGCGCGAAAGCGACGACAGUGGCACCAUGAAAGGUGAUACCAAUUACGCGUCACUCUGCUGGAUCGGAAUGAUUGAACGGUGGAUCCGAGUACGGGCGUGUGCAACUGGUUGAACCCCGUGGCACAGGAUACGGAGUCACCCGUGGGAACAGGAGUAGCUUGGAGCUAUUUUUAAAACUUAAUUAAUAUACUAAAACCCACCCGGAUGAGUGUGCUGUAGGCACGUCAGUAGGAUGACAGUGCUGUCUGUGGCGUAUGUGCUCGACCGGGCUGAGCGUCCUCGCACAAGGCUUUAUCAUGUCUGUGGUACAUCUGUGAGUGAUAGUUUCAGUAUUUCACUCGCUCCACUCCACAUCGAUAAACCAAUCGAAACGUCCAUUUGAAUAGACCAUCAACCAUACCUACGCUCUCGGCGCCAGCAUUUCAAUCAAAAGCCCUUUCAAAAGCAAAGCAAAUGUUGACACUGUAAGUCAUCGCCGCCCUGUGAGAGGUCCGUUUGCGUGACAAUGGGUGACGUGCCGUGGGCAGAAAAUAAGCCUUGCCGGCACUUGCGUUUUGAAGUGGUAAUUAAGAAUUUAUCGCUCACCUUUGGCCGCACUCCCCGUCCCCGCCGUCAACUCAAUCCGAUAGUUCGGAAGUUUGCUUCCUUUUUGGCCACUUACACGUGGCGGCCAUACAAGCCCGCGGAGCGGAGCUUCCUGUUUGCGUUUUUAUUUACUGUUUUACGAUUGCCGAUUACCACUCCAAAUCCGAUCCGGGGUUGUAAUCCGAACCGAAUGCGGCUGACUGAACUGGGUGGCAUUUAAUGUUAGAGUCGAAUCGAAGAAGUGUUCUUUGAGGGAAAAAAGAAGUAUUCUUUUUUUGCUAUAAAUAACUCACCUCCAAAUAUACUUUCUCGUUUUAGUGGAGGUCUUCGGGCGCACACUCACGACGUUAGGCAGGAAACAAAUAAAUACCAGGACGAAGCCGAUUGACUAUUGAAGCCAUCGAUCGGUGUGCAUAGGAUUCGCUUGAUUGGCUUGCCUUCCGCGGUUAAACGGUGUGCGCCUCCAUAAAACCUCUCGGCUUGCAAUACGUUCGCUUCGGGCUGUAUAAGUUAUACUUUUUGACAGAUUGAAGUAGUAACUGUCGGAGAAGCAAUAGGCAUCGCUUUUAGUGCGGUCUCGUUUGUGGACUUCUUCGAACCCAUCACUGGCACUCCUGUCCCCAAAAGCCGCCGUUGGUGACCUCCGCGCGCAAAUUUGCUGACCCAUGGCGAUCCUUCACGGUCCAUUUACCGCAGGUGGGGACCUGUGCUUUUUUGUUUAUGGCUUAUUUGCCAAGCAUUUACCCUUUUCUUGGUGGAUCAAAAUUUAUGAAGGGAAGAAGCGACCCCAUAAUUCGUUCGGAGCUACUGAUUUUUUGGAAGUUGUAAUAAUUAUAUUUCACACUCUUCCUUCGCCGAUUCUUUCAUGCAGAGUAAAAUGGGCACGUGUUUUCGGGUGAGGGUCAGACCGAUCGUUUCGUCUUGCUGAUUUUGUUGCCUUUCCACAAACCGAGAGGGGAGGGGUACCUCAUUCCGCAAUCUCAGAUUUUUGGAUUUUUUGUUUGGUUGCCUCUCGCUGUUUAGUGUCGGCUUGAGCUUUGAAUCUUACUUUUUACUUUUUUUUUCGCGCUGGUGAUUGCUUGACGCUUGGGAUGUAAAGGCGAAAUAUACACGCCCACGAACCAGCCUCGUGCCAAACCACCCGCGGUGCAGAGGCACGUUUCCACCCACAAAACCCAAGUCCGGAUUUCGUGAAAGGGAAAGAAGCAAUGUCGGAAUUUCGGAGGUCGCCGAAAGCGAGAGUUUGGUCCCGGCAGGUUUGUGCAAUAGCCGGGGGAUGGUUCGCGCUGUGAGGAACAAGCGCGAUAAAUCAUAAUACAAACUGUUUAAAGAAAAUUAAUCACAAAAUGUGCGAAACGAAACGAUCAAACAGAUCGAAGGAAGAGAAGCCGAUUCGCUUGGUGUGCCCCCGUCAGUGCGUUUUUAGGGUGCGUUUUUGGUGAAGUGCCGCUGUCCCGGUGCAAGGUUUCUGCCUUUUUUUUUUCGCGCACCGCUAGUUUACUAGUGCCAGGGUCAACGGGGGUGCUGAGUAGCAGUUCGGAUCGGUGGUGGUGGUGGACUAGACUCACUUUGCUCUCACUUGCCUGUCGUAUGCCGCCAACCGUGAUCUGGUGUGAGAUCAUCUUAUUUCACACGUUUUCGGACACGCCGCGGUUUGGGGUUUUAAUUUGGUGGAUCGAGAAGAAGGUGCGUGCGUGUUUGUGGUUUUUGGAGCACCCGAACGGACAAGAGUGAUGAGUUUUAAGUGUUGUUGAUCGAGAUGAUUAGCGCGAUGAGUUAUGGGUGCUGUCAUAUUAGGCUGCGGGAAUCAACAUGAUGACGCGCGUCGAUCGGUCGUUUAAUAAACUGCACUUAAACAUGUGUAAGAUGUGGGGGUGGUAGAUUUGUGAGGCGUUAUGGUAAAUGUGUGGUAAAAUCAUUCGCUGAUUGAAGAUAAUUUGUUUUAUGUGAGUAAUAACACGGUGAGCGCCUGAAGUUAUGCAAGCGCGCGUAUGUUCGGUAUUGCAUAAUCGCAAGAUCACACCAAUGAGUGAGCUCUGAUCUGAUUUCUGAGGCUGUCUUAAUUCCUACCCAAGUGCACCUUUUCGGGGAAGUUGCAAUUAUCGGCUCAAACCGAGCCAGAUGCAGCAAAGAAGGUCCGAUGGAUGAGUGAAAAUCGCCAUUACUUAACGCGCGAUGUAAUCGAUUCAUCUCGUUUAACCUAUCGAUUCGUUCGUGUGCUUGUGUGUGUUUAUGCAUGAUGGUGCUAUCACAAUCGAAUCGAUGUUCCCCCCAAUCCAUCUGCACCAACAACAGUUGGUGGUCGGGUUGGGCGAGCCGCUGCUGCUGCUAGUAGUAAUCCGGCACGGUGUGCCAUGUGUUGUUUUAUCGAGCACUGGAUGGUGAAGACAGAAAUCGCUGACGCAUCUAAUCAAAAAUCGAAAGAGGUGCAAAAUAGUGGUCCGUAAUCAUCUCAGCGGGAGCAAGUUGUGCGAAAAUAAGCGAAACAAUUUAAGGCCUGUAUGACGAGAACGUGAGGCAAAGAAUGAGUGUGUUCGGUUACUCUUGUUACCCGCUCGCUACCGGUUGGGGUACAUUAAAAUGAAAAAUCUAGAAACCAACAACCACCACUGGUGUACUGGUGUUGUUUUUGGAGAUGUGAAGCACAUUGUUUCUAUCUCGAUUUCCGGUUUUUGAGCACUUAAAAAAAGAGUACUCACUACUUUGCGGCUGGUAACAGCUGGAACAUUAUUUUCUACCACCUUCUGCUCGUGUUCUGGGUGUGCACCACCAGCGCCAACCACCCAUCCACCCACGAGAAGAAGUAAAUUAAUUUUCGGUCAAAUACCUUUCGGUAGAUUACG